GAUGAACGCUGGCGGCGUGCCUAACACAUGCAAGUCGAACGGAAAGGCCCUGCUCUUGUGGGGUUCUCGAGUGGCGAACGCGGGAGUAACACGUGUGUAACCUGCCCUUGUCUUUGGGGUAACAUCAGGAAACUGGGGCUAAUAUAGGAUAGGAUCUCCUGCACCAUGGUGGGGGUUGGAAAGUUUCGGCGGUUGGGGAUGGACUCGCGGCUUACGAGCUUGUUGGUGGGGUAGUGGUUUACCAAGGUUUUGACGGGUAGCCGGCCUGAGAGGGUGGCCGGCGUCAAUGGGACUAAGGGAGGGCGCAGUCGCCAACGGGAGGCAGCGGUGGGAAGUCUUGCACAGUGAGCGCAAGCGUGUGACAGCAGCGCCGCGUGCGGAAUGACGGCUUUCGGGUUGUGAACAGCUUUCGCCUGAGACGAAGCGGGAGUGACGGUAAUGGGUAAAGAAGCACCGGCUAACUACGUG
rnacentral:rRNA from 1 species